rnacentral:lncRNA from 1 species
CAAUUUUUCCUUAAAAUUGAGCUCCGGCCAUCGGAGAGGCUGAUGUGGCGCCUAUGUGGCAGCCGGGCACGUGCCAUGUAAUUCGCCGGAAAAUAACUUAGACGUCGCACCUGCUUCAACCCAAGCAGUUUUCUCCGCCACAUCAACUGUUAUUUCACUGAGAUUGAUCAAAUCAAUGAUCACAAACUGGACCUGGGAUAGAUAAGAUAGUCCCUCGAAGUCAUGGCCGCCACUUCGAGUCCUAAUCUGUAUGUCAUUCUUUUUGGCACAAUAUAUGACCGGUGAGAUUUGGGAUUCGUGUUCUGGGGUUAUGAUCACUUGCGGUUUUGAAGCUGAUGCGAACCUCAGAUUUUGGAUGGAGAAUUGCAAGAUAGAUGAAUAAGAAGAGUUGAUUGGGGUGUAAAUGAUGUUGGAUAUGGAAGAGUAGUUGUUGAAUUCUUUGGUCAGACAUAGACGGAGCCGGGGGGGGGGGGCUAGGGGGGCCUAGAGCCCCCUCCCAAAUUUUGAGUUUUUUUUUUAAUUUUAAAAUAUAUAUAGAUAUAUGUUUAUACCUAUUAUAAAAUAAUUUUGUUUAAUAAAAGAGUAUUUGGUUAUUAUAUUCUCUCAUAUAUAUACUUAAUUUAAGGAUAAUUCCGUUAUUUAAAACUAUAUAAUCUAUGAAAUAUUGUUUGUUAUUAUUACUAUUAUACUUAUCUUUUAAUAAAAAAUGCCUAAUAUGUAUGAAAUGCUAAAAAAAAUUAUAAUGUAUUGAAACUAAUUUGUAAUAUAUAGAAAAUAUAUAAUCUAUGAACAUGUUGUUUGUUAUUAUUAUUAUGCUUGCCUUUUAAUAAAAAAUGUCUUAAAUAUACGGAAUGUCUCAAAAAAGUUUUGUGAUAUAUUGAAACUAUAUAAUCUAUGAAAAUAUUGUUCGUUAUUAUUAGUAUUAUGCUCGUAUUUUAAUAAAAAAAUACCUUAAAUAUACAGAAUGCCCAAAAAAAAUUUCUCGCCCCAAAAUUAAUUCCUGGCUCCAUCCCUGUGGUCAGACAUACAAGAAAUUUGUCUGUAGACGAUGAUGCUUGUGACCACGAAAUGAUGGCAAGAAGAAUAAAAGUAGUUGUAAAAAUAUUGCUUGGAUAUUUCAUGAUUCGAAGAUGAUCUAGUUUGUGGAGUCUCGUUCAUCAAAGCUCAAGCAUUGUGCUUUGUUCUAGAUCAUGCAUGUGUUGGGUAGAAAACUAAAUAGAAAAUAAAAUAUAUUUUUGGGUAAUUCCACACGCAAUCUAUUCUUUUUAUAUAAUUUUC